rnacentral:miRNA from 1 species
AGAUUCCUAUGAUUCCUCAACGAC